rnacentral:tRNA from 1 species
AAAAAUUUAGUUAAGCUAUAACAUUAGUUUGUCAAACUAAAAUCAUUGAAUUAAAAUUAAUAAUUUUUA